rnacentral:rRNA from 1 species
UGUCGGUAAAACUCGUGCCAGCCACCGCGGUUAAACGAGAGGCCCCAGUUAAUAAUACACGGCGUAAAGGGUGGUUAAGGAAAGUAUAACGAUAAAGCCGAAUGGCCCUUUGGCUGUCAUACGCUUCUAGGUGUCCGAAGUCCAAUAUACGAAAGUAGCUUUAAUAGAGCCCACCUGACCCCACGAAAGCUGAGAAACAAACUGGGAUUAGAUACCCCACAUAU